CUCACCGCUGCGCCGACCUCGUCGGCUCCUCCGCCCGCGACCGGCGCUUCCGGGGCGGCGCCCGCUGCGGGCCGGGAGCUCCCGGGUCCGGGGGAGGCGCGGUCCGGAGGAGGCGGGCCUCCGAAAGGCGCGUGUCUGGACAUUUCUUAUGUUGACAAGUGGAAGAGAGGGGCACAGGAGGAGGUCAGAAUCAGAGUGACAUUUGAAGAUGCAGGUGGCUUCAAGAAGCUGGAAACGGACAAGAAACAAAUGUCCCCCUUGAGCUUCAUAGAAGAAACAUAAUCCUGUUGAUACCUCGACUUUAGUCCAGUGAGAUCUAUUCCAGACUGCAGACCACCAGAAGACAAUAAACUUAUUUUGCUUUAA